CAGAGGGCCUAGGCUCAGGAGGGCUGGAGUAUGAGACAGUCCCCCUCCCCUGCGAACUUAAAAAUGUGGCCAACAAUUUUUUUAAAAGAUGGCUACCCUGUAGCGCUUUAACUGGACCUAUUUAGACAACGCCUUACACACUGGAGAAGGAUGAUACUGUGUGAACCUAGUAAGUCUACAAGACAAUACUUCUCUCUAUUGGCUGUCUCCUUCCUUUCCAGGGUGAUGACAACUCCGUGAGGUGGAGAUUAUACAUCUCUCAUCAUUUCAGCAACAAGGAAAUAAAUGAGUGGCAGAGUAAGGGUGACUUGAGCUCUCCUGGAAGUGAGGAUCCUUUAAAAACCCUGGGAUAUACACUACAGUAAAAGAACAAAGCAUAUCUCAACCUUAAACGACUGAAGAAGAAUGUCAAGUAGCAGCAGGUGGGAAAGCGGCUUUGGUUUUGAGUUUGUGACCUCUGAAUCCACACAAAGACAGGACUGCAUUCUGAAAACCUGAAUUAAUUAUUGUCCUUACCUCAAUGAGGCAGAAAAUUGUAAUAAAAAUAAUCAGUGUUACAGUCACACAUAUUGCCAAGAUGAGUUUGUUGUUAUAGCCAUAUCCUGGAACUUCUUUUGUGAGCUAAAAAAAAAAGGAAAGAUUAAUUAAAAAAAAAAAAAACCAGAAUGAAAACUAACUUUU